rnacentral:rRNA from 1 species
GAUGAACGCUAGCGGCAGGCCUAAUACAUGCAAGUCGAACGGUGUCUUCGGACAUAGUGGCGCACGGGUGCGUAACACGUAUGCAACCUACCUUACAUUGGGGGAUAGCCUUUCGAAAGGGAGAUUAAUACCGCAUAAGACAGUAGCUGGGCAUCCAGCAGCUGUUAAAGAUUUAUCGAUGUAAGCUGGGCAUGCGUCCAAUUAGCUAGUUGGUGAGGUAACGGCUCACGAAGGCAAUGAGUGGUAGGGGAACUGGGAGGUCAAUCCCCCACACUGGCGCUGGGAUACGGGCCAGACUCCUACGGGAGGCAGCAGUAGGGAAUAUUGGGCAAUGGACGCAAGUCUGACCCAGCCAUGCCGCGUGCAGGAUGAAGGCGUUAUGCGUUGUAAACUGCUUUUAUACAGGAAGAAACGACUCUUGCGAGAGGCAUUGACGGUACUGUAUGAAUAAGCACCGGCUAACUCCGUGCCAGCCGCCGCAGUAAAAC